UAAGCGGCGGACGGGUGAGUAACGCGUGGGUAACCUACCCUGUACACACGGAUAACAUACCGAAAGGUAUGCUAAUACGGGAUAAUAUAUUUGAGAGGCAUCUCUUAAAUAUCAAAGGUGAGCCAGUACAGGAUGGACCCGCGUCUGAUUAGCUAGUUGGUAAGGUAACGGCUUACCAAGGCGACGAUCAGUAGCCGACCUGAGAGGGUGAUCGGCCACAUUGGAACUGAGACACGGUCCAA
rnacentral:rRNA from 1 species